UACGUAGGGCGCAAGCGUUAUCCGGAAUUAUUGGGCGUAAAGAGCUCGUAGGCGGUUUGUCGCGUCUGCCGUGAAAGUCCGGGGCUCAACUCCGGAUCUGCGGUGGGUACGGGCAGACUAGAGUGAUGUAGGGGAGACUGGAAUUCCUGGUGUAGCGGUGAAAUGCGCAGAUAUCAGGAGGAACACCGAUGGCGAAGGCAGGUCUCUGGGCCGAUACUGACGCUGAGGAGCGAAAGCGUGGGGAGCAAACAGG
rnacentral:rRNA from 1 species